rnacentral:rRNA from 1 species
AUGUAACGGGGCUCAAGGUUUACACCGAAGCUGCGGCUUUUCAGAGGUCGGAUGUGAGAAGUCAGAGGUGAGAAAAAUAAACACCUACAAAGACCUAAAGAUAUACCAAAAAUCAUAUGAACUCAGCCUAAUAGUACACAAACUAACACAAAAAUACCCAGAAUACGAAAGAUACGAACUAGCGAGCCAAACAAGGAGAGCAGCUACAUCCAUACCGCUCAACAUAGCAGAAGGAUACGGCAAAAAAACGUCACAAGCAGACUUCAAAAGAUAUUUAAAAAUAGCACUUGGCUCAUCAAACGAAAUCGAAGUAUUACUAGACAUGGGAAAAGACUUAGGGUAUAUCGAACAAGAAACACACAAAAAACUCACAGAAGAAUAUAUCACACUGAGAAAACAAAUAUACAAAACCAUAGAAAAAUGGAAAUAAACACUGACAUCUGACUUCCGACAUCUGACCUCUGAAAGGGGUAGGGGAGCGUUCCUAUUGGGCAGAAGUCGUACUGGAAAGUAUGGUGGACCGAUAGGAAGAGAGAAUGUCGGUA